UCACCUCCAGCUGCAGCUUGCGAAGCACCUGCUUGGCACGGUCCAGCUCCCGUGCGCCACCUCUGUUAACAACACAGAAGCAAGGACAGGAAUAUAGCAGAGAAUUUAGGAUCGGAAGCAAGAACUUAGAUGGGAUCAGACGGAUAAUUCUUAGAACAGAGGAUAGUUGUUACGGAUGUUCUUUUUGAUACCUAUUCCUUCUCACGCGCCUCCUUUUAUGACUAGCGGACUCACGCACGCACACACACAGGUUACAGCCAUUCUGGGCCAUACAUCAGAACGUUAGCCUUCCUGGGCCGGUUGCCUCGGCGCGGCCCAGCUUCCUUUGCCUGUGCUGCAGCUGCUCCAGACGAUGUCGCUGCUGACUGUUGCCCGUCAGCUGUUGCACUAACAUCCCCCCCUUGAAGAAAACCUGCUUGUCCCCAAGCAGGAGCUUGUGGAAAACGCUGCUUCAACGGUGUCAAAUCCUCCCAGGUUGCAAGAGAACGAGGCAUGGCCGAC
rnacentral:lncRNA from 1 species